rnacentral:rRNA from 1 species
GACGAACGCUAGCGGCAGGCCUAAUACAUGCAAGUCGAACGGUAAGGUCUCCUUCGGGAGAUACACGAGUGGCGAACGGGUGCGUAACACGUAUGCAACCUACCUAUCAGAGAAGAAUAGCCUCGGGAAACUGAGAAUAAUACUUCAUAUGCUCACGUUAUGGCAUCAUAAUGUGAGGAAAGUUCCGGCGCUGAUAGAUGGGCAUGCGUCCCAUUAGCUAGUUGGUAAGGUAAUGGCUUACCAAGGCUACGAUGGGUAGCUGGUCUGAGAGGAUGAUCAGCCACACGGGCACUGAGACACGGGCCCGACUCCUACGGGAGGCAGCAGUAAGGAAUAUUGGACAAUGGGGGCAACCCUGAUCCAGCCAUGCCGCGUGGAGGAAGACGGUUCUCUGAAUUGUAAACUCCUUUUAUGUAGGGAUAAUGAGGUCCUAUACGGACCGAUGCAGGUACUACAUGAAUAAGCACCGGCUAACUACG